GGACGAACGCUGGCGGCGUGCUUAACACACGCACGUCGAACGGAAAGGCCCUGCUUUUGUGGGGUGCUCGAGUGGCGAACGGGUGAGUAACACGUGAGUAACCUGCCCUUGACUUUGGGAUAACUUCAGGAAACUGGGGCUAAUACCGGAUAGGAGCUCCUGCUGCAUGGUGGGGGUUGGAAAGUUUCGGCGGUUGGGGAUGGACUCGCGGCUUAUCAGCUUGUUGGUGGGGUAGUGGCUUACCAAGGCUUUGACGGGUAGCCGGCCUGAGAGGGUGACCGGCCACAUUGGGACUGAGAUACGGCCCAGACUCCUACGGGAGGCAGCAGUGGGGAAUAUUGCACAAUGGGCGGAAGCCUGAUGCAGCAACGCCGCGUGCGGGAUGACGGCCUUCGGGUUGUAAACCGCUUUCGCCUGUGACGAAGCGUGAGUGACGGUAAUGGGUAAAGAAGCACCGGCUAACUACGUG
rnacentral:rRNA from 1 species